rnacentral:rRNA from 1 species
UACGUAGGGUGCAAGCGUUAUCCGGAAUUAUUGGGCGUAAAGAGCUCGUAGGCGGUUUGUCGCGUCUGCUGUGAAAACCCGAGGCUCAACCUCGGGCCUGCAGUGGGUACGGGCAGACUAGAGUGCGGUAGGGGAGAUUGGAAUUCCUGGUGUAGCGGUGGAAUGCGCAGAUAUCAGGAGGAACACCGAUGGCGAAGGCAGAUCUCUGGGCCGUAACUGACGCUGAGGAGCGAAAGCCAGGGGAGCGAACGGG